rnacentral:rRNA from 1 species
UGGGGAAUAUUGCACAAUGGGCGCAAGCCUGAUGCAGCCAUGCCGCGUGUGUGAAGAAGGCCUUCGGGUUGUAAAGCACUUUCAGCGAGGAGGAAGGUGGUGGACUUAAUACGUUCAUCAAUUGACGUUACUCGCAGAAGAAGCACCGGCUAACUCCGUGCCAGCAGUCGCGGUAAUACGGAGGGUGCAAGCGUUAAUCGGAAUUACUGGGCGUAAAGCGCACGCAGGCGGUUUGUUAAGUCAGAUGUGAAAUCCCCGGGCUCAACCUGGGAACUGCAUUUGAAACUGGCAAGCUAGAGUCUCGUAGAGGGGGGUAGAAUUCCAGGUGUAGCGGUGAAAUGCGUAGAGAUCUGGAGGAAUACCGGUGGCGAAGGCGGCCCCCUGGACGAAGACUGACGCUCAGGUGCGAAAGCGUGGGGAGCAAACAGGAUUAGAUACCCUGGUAGUCCACGCUGUAAAACGAUGUCGAUUUUGGAGGUUGUGCCCUUGAGGCGUGGCUUCCGGAGCUAACGCGUUAAAUCGACCGCCUGGGGAGUACGGCCGCAAGGUUAAAACU